rnacentral:rRNA from 1 species
UACGUAGGGGGCAAGCGUUGUCCGGAAUCAUUGGGCGUAAAGAGCGUGUAGGCGGCCAGAUAAGUCCGCUGUGAAAUCUCGAGGCUCAACUUCGAGCUGUCGGUGGAAACUGUCUGGCUAGAGUCCGGAAGAGGAGAAUGGAAUUCCUGGUGUAGCGGUGAAAUGCGCAGAUAUCAGGAGGAACACCAACGGCGAAGGCAGCUCGCUGGGACGGUACUGACGCUGAGGCGCGAAAGCGUGGGGAGCAAACAGG